ACCCUUAUCCUGAGUUGCCACCAAGUAAUGUUGGGCACUCGCACGAGACUGCCGGGGUCAACUCGGAGGAAGGUGGGGAUGACGUCAAGUCAUCAUGCCCCUUAUGCCCAGGGCUGCAAACACGCUACAAUGGCCGGUACAAAGGGCUGCGAUCCCGCGAGGGUGAGCGAAUCCCAUCAAAGCCGGUCUCAGUUCGGAUUGGAGUCUGCAACUCGACUCCAUGAAGCCGGAGUUGCUAGUAAUCCUGGAUCAGCACGCCAGGGUGAAUACGUUCCCGGGCCUUGCACACACCGCCCGU
rnacentral:rRNA from 1 species